rnacentral:sRNA from 1 species
CUACAUCUAGAUCCAUACCCCUAAACUCCCUGGAUCUAUGGGAUAGCCUGAGCGCUAUCCCAUUUUUAU